UUGGAUACCGGAAUGAAUGAUUUUACAUUUAUAUAUUUUCUUACACUAAUAAUUUGUAAUUUAGGGUUUAAGUUAAAACACUUAAAUUUAUAAAAAAGACGAUAAGACCCUAAAAGCUUUAUUUCUUAUUAAUUAUUAAAUUAAUUAAAUAAUUUUUAAGAUUUUUAACUGGGGUAGUAAUUUAUUAAUUAUUUAUUUGUUAAAAUUAUUAAUUCCUUAAUAUUAAGAUAAAAAUAAGUUACUUUAGGGAUAACAGCGUAAUAGUAUUGGAGAGAACACAUCUAUAAUACUGAUUACGACCUCGAUGUUGAAUUAAUUAAUCUUUUUAAAGCAGUAUUUAAAAUAGAGGGUUUGUUCAACCUUUAAU
rnacentral:rRNA from 1 species